UACGUAGGGUGCAAGCGUUGUCCGGAAUUAUUGGGCGUAAAGAGCUCGUAGGUGGUCUGUUGCGUCCGCUGUGAAAACUCGGGGCUUAACCCCGAGCCUGCAGUGGAUACGGGCAGACUAGAGGUAGGUAGGGGAGAAUGGAAUUCCCGGUGUAGCGGUGAAAUGCGCAGAUAUCGGGAGGAACACCGGUGGCGAAGGCGGUUCUCUGGGCCUUACCUGACGCUGAGGAGCGAAAGCGUGGGGAGCGAACAGG
rnacentral:rRNA from 1 species